rnacentral:snRNA from 1 species
GGAUGUGAGGGCGAUCUGGCUGCGACAUCUGUCACCCCAUUGAUCGCCAGGGUUGAUUCGGCUGAUCUGGCUGGCUAGGCGGGUGUCCCCCUCCUCCCUCACCGAUCCAUGUGCGUCCCUCCCGAGGCUGCGCGCUCGGUUGAAGAGGACGACCUUCCCCCCCCUGCCCCAGGAGAGGACCGGUCUUUGGUCAAGGGUACACGAGUAGCUGCGCUCCCCUGCUAGAACCUCCAAACAAGCUCUAAAAGUACACCAAAGGUUUAUUGUUUGAAGAUUGAGUAGGAAUGAAGCAUUUAAUGAAGCAACUAUUCCCAUUGCUCUCAUU